GCUUUGCUUGGGAGGCUUUUAGAUUAGUGUGCUUCCAGCUGCAUUUCCUUGAAACUGAUUCAGUUUCUGCCCAUAUCAGAGUCCUUUCAUGGAGCCAUUCCUAUUCAAAAUAAAGUGCUUUAAGAAAAGCACCGUGGUGGGGUUUAAAGUAAUCCAAAAAGUAUGGGGUGGCUUAGAAUUUUUGUUACAGCUAAAAGGGCCAAAUUCAGGACAGGAGGAGAACAGAAAUUAUGCUUCUCUGUACAUACUAAGCCUUUUUUGACCUAAGGCAUUUAUCCCAAAGAACAGGAGGCUUUACCAUCUCUCACAGGGUUUGCGGUAAGGGUGGUACUUCUCUACUUCCCACCAAGAUUUGCUUCGUUACAAGGUAUCACUCAAAAUUAUUCUGAAUUAACUCUCUCUCUGGGAAUGGUCUCUCUCAUGAUAGCCACAGUCAUUUCUUGAUGUCUGAAAUAUAGUUCUGAAAAUAUUGUCCAUUUAUUACCUCAGUACCAGCAGUUGUAUUCAGAUAUAACUGUCCCUUAAGUCAUGAAAACUAUUUUUUUCUAAUACCAAACCAAACACAGAUGUAGUUGUCAGAAAUGUAGAGUGUUCAUGAAUGGUGUUUAUCCUGUAAGUGACAGCCAGGCAUAUGUUAGAAAAUUAUUUACUUAAAUUACAAGAUUGUCAAGGGGCCAAGCAAGAGCUGUUAAGAAAAAUGCCAUUGUUCUGGGCACCACACACAAAGAGUAGCAGAGGAGACAUCUAGGCUGCAGAACUCAGAAGCUCUUCCAAGUCCUAUCUCUGGGAGCAGGCAGUGGCUGCGUCCUCACUGCCCAGUGGACUCCAGUUUGGGGAGGUCCUCCAGCUGAAAGGUGGGACUGCUCUACAAAACAUCAGGCAUGGACUUCGCAUAGGCCCUAAGAGUGCCACAUUGUGCACUUACUGAUGGUGUUUUAGUGAACUGAAAGACAAAGGAUAGAAAGGAAAUAGCACAAGAGGAAGAAGCCUGGAACAGAAGUGGAAUGCAAUGAAAGCAAAGAGAGCACACAGGAAGAGACUACAGAAGGCUCCUACACAGUCUGAAUAGCACUGCAAGGCUGAACACAUGGAAAAGUUAUGUGAAUGCUUCACCUGGCAGCCAGCUUGAAACUCCAGCACAAGGAACCACUGUGACUUCAUUUGGACUUCAAAGGGAAAUGCCACAGUUCUGCUGAACAAAUGCUCGAGAGUGCUGAGAGGCAGCAGUGAAGAGGUUAAAUAUAUAUUAAUGUGGGCCAAGAUUCUAUUUUUUACCAAAACUUGAAUGCAUGAAGAAAUGUAAGUAGGAGGAAGAAGAGAAGGGAUGGAUCUGGGAGGUGAAAGGAAAAGUCACUUGCUCUGUAUCCAGGGUAAAUGUUUAGAAAUCACUGCUUAUAGACAUCAAAUGGUUUGGAAUAUCCUUAGAAAUGUGCUUUUCCCCCAAGACAGACAUUUCUGAGAGGGGGGAGUGAAGUAGGGAGGGGAGAAGAAGGGAGAAUAGGGGUAUUCGCUGUCUUGCGGUACGUCUGGAAUCCUCUUAUCUCCAGCAAAACUGAGAACACCUGGACAACACUUGUCUUUUUCCCCCACCCACCUGUGCAAAUUGCUCAGCACAUUGCUUUUCAAAGCACUGUGCCUUAUGCCAGUCACAUCACAGAGAUCCAUUGUGACUUCUCUGAAUAUCAAAGUAAAACCAUUGCACAUCUUUGCACAAAUACUGAGGGGGGCGGUUGUGAAGGGGUUAAGAGAUCAAGUUCUGCUAUAAAGAUAACAGGGACUGGAGAACACGCAGCAGAUGUUAUAUGUGGAGGCACUUAAGUUUACAGUCCCACCUGUGUCCAUUUAAUACCUUUAAAAACAAUCUCCUGUUCAUUUGUGAAGGAGAAUAGAAAAUCGAUGUUCCAAUCUCAGCAUCUGCUCACAACAUCCACAUCCCACAUGAGGAAAGGGAGGAGAUGAUGGGAUGAGCAGACAAGACAGGAGGGCUGAAGCUGAGAUUUAAGAAUAUAAAUAUACGGAGAUUUAUGCAAGUACACAUCCCAAUGUGGAAAGUGAGCCAUGCUUUUGUAUGCAAGGCAACUCAUGCCCUGUGCUGGGGAACAGCAGCCCGAUCUUAAUGCUAGUGUUUAAAUGUCUUAAGAGCAGUAAGAACAUUAAAGAGACAUGUCACAG
ensembl:lncRNA